rnacentral:sRNA from 1 species
UGCAUCUGCAGCUCAUGAGGAUGAGAACCUCCGGGGGCAGGGAGGUUCGACUCGAGCGAAGCGAGAGAACGUUGCGCCAGCAACGGCCCGCAGGGCGAGCCACG